UAACAGUCUAUUUGAUUAAUAAAAAUAAGUUACAUGCAAUGCUAAGUUGACAAGAUAAUGUUACUGGCAGGUCUUUGCUCCCAGAGCUCCCAAGAUGGCGGCAGCUGCUCCCAAGAUGGCAGCAAGCCUUUGUUCUCUGACCUGGGGUUCUUGGCCUCACAGAUUCCAAGGAAUGGAACCUCGGGUCAUGCGGCCCUCAGUUUUGCUUCAUGUUUCUCCAUGGUCCCUUUAUGUCUCCUUUCAUCAGACACCUCUGAAAGAUGCAAGAACAUUCAUGUCAAAGAAGAACACAUGACAAUGGAUAGAGGUUAGAGUGAUAUGAUUUCUGACCUUGAAAAUGGAGAAAUGGGUUACAUGCUAAUACACUCAGGUGACUUCUAGAAGCUGGAAAAGGCAAGUAAAUGGAGGCUUUCCUAGAGACUUGAAAAAGAACACAGAACUUCCAAUACCUUGAUUUUAGCUUGAUGAGCCAUUUGGAUUUCUAAUCUCCAGAAUUUUAAAAUAAUACAUUUGCACUGUUUUAAGUAAGAAGUUUGUGGUACUUCAUUACAGCAGUAAUAGAAAACUAGUAAAAGCCUCCUUCCUACUGUUCUUUACCAAAAUGCUCCCAGGUUUUGUUUUUUAUUUGUUUUGGACAGUGUAUCCUCCCUUACAGCAGCAAG
rnacentral:lncRNA from 1 species